GGGCCCGUGGCUCAACGGUAGAGCAGCGAGAUGGCAUCUCGAAGGUUCGGGGUUCGAAUCCCCGCGGGUCCA
rnacentral:tRNA from 1 species